UGGGGAAUUUUGGACAAUGGGCGAAAGCCUGAUCCAGCAAUGCCGCGUGUGUGAAGAAGGCCUUCGGGUUGUAAAGCACUUUUGUCCGGAAAGAAAUCCUUGGCUCUAAUACAGUCGGGGGAUGACGGUACCGGAAGAAUAAGCACCGGCUAACUACGUGCCAGCAGCCGCGGUAAUACGUAGGGUGCAAGCGUUAAUCGGAAUUACUGGGCGUAAAGCGUGCGCAGGCGGUUUGCUAAGACCGAUGUGAAAUCCCCGGGCUCAACCUGGGAACUGCAUUGGUGACUGGCAGGCUAGAGUAUGGCAGAGGGGGGUAGAAUUCCACGUGUAGCAGUGAAAUGCGUAGAGAUGUGGAGGAAUACCGAUGGCGAAGGCAGCCCCCUGGGCCAAUACUGACGCUCAUGCACGAAAGCGUGGGGAGCAAACAGGAUUAGAUACCCUGGUAGUCCACGCCCUAAACGAUGUCAACUAGUUGUUGGGGAUUCAUUUCCUUAGUAACGUAGCUAACGCGUGAAGUUGACCUGCCUGGGGAGUACGGUCGCAAGAUUAAAACUCAAAGGAAUUGACGGGGUCAUAGCUGUUUCCU
rnacentral:rRNA from 1 species